rnacentral:rRNA from 1 species
GAGCCUGACGCAGCCACGCCGCGUGCCGGAUGAAGGCCCUAUGGGUUGUAAACGGCUUUUGAGGAGGAAGAACGACUGGAUUUCGAUCUGGUGUGACGGUACUCCUUGAAUAAGCACCGGCUAACUCCGUGCCAGCAGCCGCGGUAAUACGGAGGGUGCAAGCGUUGUCCGGAAUCAUUGGGUGUAAAGGGUGCGUAGGCGGGCUAUUAAGUCUGGGGUGAAAUCUUGCCGCUUAACGGUAAAAUGGCCCUGGAUACUGGUAGUCUUGAGUGUAGAAGAGGUAAGUGGAAUUCGUAGUGUAGCGGUGAAAUGCAUAGAUAUUACGAAGAACAUCAGUGGCGAAGGCGGCUUACUGGUCUACAACUGACGCUGAGGCACGAAAGCGUGGGGAGCGAACAGGAUUAGAUACCCUGGUAGUCCACGCUGUAAACGAUGCAUACUAGGUGUUGGCCUUUCGGGGCCAGUGCUGCAGUUAACGCAUUAAGUAUGCCACCUGGGGAGUACGUCGGCAACGAUGAAACUCAA